rnacentral:lncRNA from 1 species
AAAACUCUUAGAUGUGGGAGAGUCUUGUGCUGACUUGAUCCGAGUUGUAGUUCUGUGCUCUGCGGAUCUUUGCGUGCGUGGCACCCGUGGUGUCUCCGCUGUGUGGGAUUGGCUGUGUAACCCAGGUAGAUCAUGGGGUGUUCUGUGGUUUCUGUUUCAAAGAAACAAGAGUCGGACAAGCCUACCAUAAUUAAACACAUUUCAAUUCUUUACUUGUCUUUUGAUGAAAUGCAGGUGAGUGUGCAUCCUUAAUUCAGCAUAAAUUUCUUAAAAAUCUCUCCAUCCCAUGUUUCUCUUCUGAAUAAUCUCUUCCUAGUUCUCAAGCACCUCCAAACUUUCUCGCUCCAUUAGCCCUCGGGGCAGCCUGCCCCUACUCGCCUCUUUACUAUGUAGAUCAAAAAAUCUCUCUUGACUUCCUUAGCAUUCUCUCAACUGCAUCCCUUCCCUUAAAUCUCAGCAAGAAAAAGAGGCCAGAAUCUAACCCAGCAAACAAACAAACAAAAUUAUCCUGGUGGGAGAGGGGAAAUUCAAGAAUACUCAUUGGUGGGUAUUCUUCAUCCCUGUUACAUUCACUUCCUUCUGUGGAGCCCUUGUUGCUAUUUACACUCUUCUCCAUCUCUGCUAAUAUAAGUGCUCAAAGGGCACUUUAAGUAUAAUCAUUAUCCAUUGAUUUUUUUUUUUUCUUUUUGCAGAGGCUUUUAUUCCCUUCAAUAAGCUCUGCUAAAGCCUGGCUGUUGGCUCUAUUUGUUAAAGAAAGAGCUUUGUUCUGUGUGGUUUUUCUCUUAACCUGAGUUUUCUAUCCAUCCUCAGGGUGGGAUAAAGGGGAGAUUUUCUGCCUCACCCUUUGGUGAGGACAGUCACUUCCUGAUUGGAAUUUGAGCUGAAAAUGUGUUCCAUUGGGAAGAAACAUGGAUAGCCUGGCACUUCCUGUGUUGUCUGAGUACUCACAGCCAUUCCUUUUUAAGAGUUUGACAGUAGUAAGUAGGAGACUCAGGAUACCAGAAAGGGAACCUUUUGACUUAAAAUUGCCCCAGUGGGUAUAAGAUAAACAUCAGAGACUUUUUUAGAGCAGAUUUUAAAAGAAGCGAGGA